rnacentral:rRNA from 1 species
UACAUAUUUCAAAACUUAUUCAAACAUUAUCAAUAUUAACAAAUUUUACUUACAAAUCCAAUUUCAUAACCAAAUUUCAUUAAUUAAUCCAAAAUUAAAUUUAUUGUAACACAAUUUUCCUUAAAUAUUCCUGCACCUUGACCUGACAUUUAAUUUACAUUUAUUUCAAGAAAUAAAUCUAUUAAUAAAUUCUUCUGACGGAGAUAUACAAAGCAUUUUAAUUUAAGUAAAAUAUUUGAGUAUCAUCAUUUUAAAAAACCAUGUUCCUCUGAAAAGAAUAAAAUACCGCCAAAUUUUUUAAGUUUUCAAACAAAUUUAUUCUACUACCUAAUUCAUCUCAGAAUUAUAUCUAAAGA